UGGGGAAUAUUGGACAAUGGGCGCAAGCCUGAUCCAGCAAUGCCGCGUGUGUGAAGAAGGCCUUCGGGUUGUAAAGCACUUUUAUCAGGAACGAAAUCCGCAUGCUUAAUACGUGUGCAGUCUGACGGUACCUGAGGAAUAAGCACCGGCUAACUUCGUGCCAGCAGCCGCGGUAAUACGAAGGGUGCAAGCGUUAAUCGGAAUUACUGGGCGUAAAGGGUGCGUAGGCGGUUGCUUAAGUCUGUCGUGAAAUCCCCGGGCUCAACCUGGGAAUGGCGAUGGAUACUGGGCAGCUAGAGUGUGUCAGAGGAUGGUGGAAUUCCCGGUGUAGCGGUGAAAUGCGUAGAGAUCGGGAGGAACAUCAGUGGCGAAGGCGGCCAUCUGGGACAACACUGACGCUGAAGCACGAAAGCGUGGGGAGCAAACAGG
rnacentral:rRNA from 1 species